AAAAAAAUUUAAAAAAAUUUUUUAAAAAAGGCCCAAGGGAACUAGCUAGCCCCUUCCACCAUCGGAGGACACAGUGAGAAAGCAUAGUCUUUGAACAAGAAAGAGCUUUCACUACACACUAAAUCUGUCAGUGUGUUGAUCUUGGACUCCCCGCCUCCAGAAUGGUUGAGCUUUAAUUCCUUUCACUGGGAUUCAUCACUUCCUUAUAAAAUUUCAUUUUCUUGGUUGUUCAGUAGAAGAGUGACAAGAGGACACCACUGCUAUUCUCCAGAUUUUAGAGAAGAACAAUUGAACUUUUUUUUUUAACACAAUGAAGAUAACACCAACAUAUCUUGAACUUGGCAGAUGGAACUAGGCUACUGAUACUCUUCUAGUAAGGGGCAUGAAUGAAGCUGGAAACCAUCAUCCUCAUCAAAGUAGCACAGGAACAGAAAACCAAACACCGCUUUGGGUAUAUUUUUUAAGCAGCAACAAGAGAUUCAAUCACAAAUGAGUGGGAGAUGAUGAUUCCAAAGAUAAAAGAUAACCUAAUGUUCAAACUCCCAGAAAGGGGUGAAAUUCUGGGAGAAUUAACUUUGUGAAGGAGGGGACAAAGGGGAGCAAUAUUUUGUUCUGAGUAGGAUGAGAUACUAUUAACUUGGGAAAAGAAGUGAACAAGCAUGGUUGUAAGACAGGGAAUGCAAGAUUUUUCUGUUAAAUUAGGAAUUGAUAAUGAAAAAGAUAGAAAAAGAAUUGACGAUUUGAGAAAAGAAGAUACAGUUUAAAAUGACUUCUGCAGGUAUAUGGAAACUUGAAUAAAAAAUAAAUGAGAUAAAUUAGUUUUUUAAAUUAAGAUUACUCUACAGUAUCAAGGGUCCAACUUAGAUCACACAUUUACAUUGAACUUAAUCCACUUCUGUAAUUUUCUCCAACUCUAUCCAAAUUGCUUGUGAGCGGAAUUAGAGAAAAUUGAUCAUUUGGUUGAGCUAGGUUUGGGGAAUUAACUGACAAACUGAAAUAAAUGUGUCAGUUUGCUCGGGUUAGGAAAUGGAAAAUGAUAAGGAAGAUAGAGGUGAAAUAACUGAGCAUGGCAUCCAUUAUAGUUUGCAUAUGAAGUGAAACAAGAAACGGACUUAUAAAAUCAAAUUGGAUUAAGAAACUGAUGUUAAGUGUGAGGUCAAAAGCAAUGUUUAGUAAACAUGAGAGACAGAGAAUGGUAGCAAGCUGUAGUGUCAAGAAAAUUUCAAAAUAUUACAGAUAUCGAAUACUUUGGGAUGCUGAUAAAGUCCAUAAAUUAAAAAGGAAAGUGGAAUAAUGAAAAGGAAUUUGUAGAACAAUCUCUUGAAAACAUUGAAAGGCAGCCAAGAGAAUCCUCAUCCUGCCUGCUCUCUCAGGCUACAGAAUAAAGGGUGAAUGUUACCAUUCUGGAAUCAGACACAGCUAGGUUCAAAUCAUGACUGUUUCUCCUUAUGUAGGUAACCAUAGGCAAACUAGUUUUCUGUGCCUCACUUUUCUUAUCUGUAAAACAGGAAUGUGCCUGCUUCCUAAGUUUGCUGGGAAGAUUACAUGAGAUAAAAGAGUUUAGUACAGUGUAAGCUGAGAGCAGGUGGUUCAGUUGGACUCUGGAGAAGCACUGCUUGUGUUUGAAUCCCAGCUGUGCCACUUACUGGUUUUACAACCUUAGGCAAAUAUUAACCUCUCUAUGCUUCAGUUUUCUUGCAUGAAAAUUGGGAUAAUAAUAGUAACUAACUCAUAUGGUGGUUGUGAAGAUUAAGUGAACCACAUGAAAUUGCUGCUCUUCAAUCAUUUUUGACCUGUAAGAAUAGCAAUUUUAUGUAGUUCAACCUAAUAAUACAUGCACAUUGUUUAAGAUAGAGCAUGGCACAUAGGAAGUCAUCAACAAAAGUUAUCAUGAAAGGAUAGCUACUACUACUAUUACUACUAGUACUUGUACAACUAAUAAAAUAAAAAUUCUUAAUGUGGCAGAGUCAUAAGAGUUUCAGAAUUAACAAUGAGAAGACAGAUCUCAAUUAAGGCAAGGCAGUGAAGAGAAUAUAAUAAAAACCACCAGGAACCACAUAAACACAUUCCAUUAAAUUCUUUGUCAAUACAAUAAUGUUCUACAAUUCACACAGCCUGCCACUUUGUCUUGUUCAACUCAACAUCCCUGCCUGCCUGGGUAACUGUAACUUUCCCCCAGUUUAAUUAUCUCCCUUCAGUUUGUUUUCUGUAAUCCCUGUCACAUAAUUCUCUCAAAUUUAUCUUUCUAAAAGGCCAAUUUUUGUGUCCCCUUUUAUCCUUAGAAAAAUGAAUAAAAUUCAUGCUCCUCAUGUUUGUCUUCAAGAGCUGACGUGAUUUGGCCCAAAAUUAGCCCCAAAGCCUGUAUUCCCCAUAUACACCACCCAAGCCUACUGCUUCAGUUAAACCAGGCUACUCGUAGCUUUGCAAAUAUGAUGUACAUUCCCACCUUGUCCCCAUCUGACUGAAAUAUAUUUCCAGGCUCUUGGUUAGUGCCUAUUCAUAACCUCAAAUUCCAUUUCAAUUUCCCAUUGACUAGUAGACUAUUGAAAUUUCAGUUCCCCAUUUUACUCAUAUCUCUCUCACAUCUGAGCUGCCCAAGUGCUGUGCAAAGAUCUGUAACACUACUUUCAUUUGUAUUUGUGUGUGUAGGUGUGUAUUCUAUUUUCUCAUGAGUCUUCAGGCACCCUUAAAACAGAAAGCAUAUUUGAAACCUCUUUGUAUUCCUCAUUGAACAACCACAGUUGACUUGUAUUACAUUAUUAUAACAUUUAUAGAUGUUUACAACAAUUUUAGAGUGACAAAUAUUGGGAGAACUGAAAACUAAGAAGAUAAAUUUUUGAUACUCCCAUAAGUGAAAUACAUAUUCUCAAUUCAGAUGUGAAAAUUGUUCAUACAGCAAAAUUUAGAAGAAAACAAAGAAAAGUUUACUUCCUACCAUUCUUAGAUCUACACUAGUGUAAAGCCUGUUAGAUUGUCCUUACAGAUAGACGAGAAUCCAAAGAACAGAAUCCAAAGGACCUUAAUAAAUUCUAUUACCUAGAGUAUAAAUAAAUUUUAUUAUUUCGAAUGUAAAUAGAAGCUUAUAUUCUAUUACUUAGAAUAUAAAUAAAUUAUUUAAAAUAUGGAUAGAACCUUAUAUUCUAUUAUUACUUAGAAUAUAAGGCUACGCGUCUAUAAUUGACUGUGGAGGAAACAUCUUAGAAAGCAUGUAGAUUUUUUUCUAAUGAGCCCUGUGGUUAAGUUUGGAAAUACUUUAGCUAUAUGCAAAAUCAAUGGGAAAUUACCUCACUGGAAUUUUUUAAAAUUUAUAUGACUACAACUUUAAGAAUGAUUCCUAAAAUUUCAAGAUAAAUAAAAUUUUAUUGCUUAAAUCUUCUAUUUUGAAAAUGGGGCCCACUAAGAUUAAGUCUCAAGUUCAAAGUUAAGGCAUAGACUUCCAACUCUUUAUUCUAUAAUAGUAAUUUUGUAAGUCUAAAAAUUGGUGAAUUACUACAUAAGCAUUGUGUGUUCACAUAUAAAGUGAAAAAAUAGCAAAGGAGUUUUAAAAAAAAUUUAAUGAGAUCACUCUCUUCCUCUCCCUUGUAACUCAACUCAUACAUAGGUGAUUGCAUAGUGUACCAUAUACUUGUCUGCAUAUAUUGGUAGAAGAUAUGUUAAGCUGCUAUAACAAAGAUUCUCCAAUAAAAUAGUUUAAAUUAAAUAGAUAAUUUUCCCUUUUAUUCCAGUUUGAGUAGUCCAGGCUGGAGCAGUGAUUGUGCUACAAGUCAUCACUCAGAGGUCCAAAUUCCUCCCAUGUUCAUGCUCUGUUAUCUCAUAGGGUGUUUUCUCCCUUUGCAUAUUUGGACCUAACUCACAAUCAAGUUAGUGUUCCAGUUCAUGAUGAGGGAAAAGAGUGGAAACCCAGGGCUGGCAGAUUGUCUUCAGUUGGAAAUCACAAAAUUUGCAGACAUCUCUUCUGAUGAUAUCAGAAUGGUCCAAACUUAGUGAUAUGAUCAAAAUUAGCUGCAAGAAAAAUUGAAAAUGGAAACUAUCUGAGCAAUCAUGUGCUCCACUUAUACUUGGAUGAUUCUAGUAAUAAAAAAAAGGAUGGAAAAAGAAAAACCAAGGAACAAUUGAUAGGUUUUACCACAGGUGUUUACACACAUGUAUUCAUUUGUUUGUUAAUUUAUUCACUCGACAAUUCCACAAAUAAUCAAUGAGCAUCAUAUACACGGUAGAUACUGCCUGUGAUGCAAACUUGUCCCAGCCAUGAAACUGCUUAUAGUGUAAUGGAAAAAAUAUGAAAAUGUAAUGAGUCUAUGAUGACGGUAGUCAUAAUUGGUAAGAGAAUAUUAGGUCCAAACUUUAGUCCACAGAGGAUUCUUGAUGCCUGCAACACUAUAUGUAUUCAUUUAUCUCCUGUCUACAAAUAUUCACAUAAAAAUUAAGUAAAGUGAUUUUACUUACCCAAAUAAGAGCUUAUUACAAGAUAUUUGUAUUUGUAACCAAAUCCGGUUGGAAACAUUCUAGGAAGAAGUCUUAAUUCAUAAAUAUUUUGAGAAACUCUUUAGUUUUUGUCUUAAAUAUUUGUCAUAAAUAUUUAUUUAUUUGUCUUAAAUAUUUAGUACUAUUGAUGCAGGGUCUCAUAUAUACCACUUCAAAAUGACAUUUGUAGUCCCUUCCCCUAUACUGUCUUUAGGUAAGAGUUAAACACAGUAGAAGGGAGUGUCUCUUCUCCAUUCCCAUAUUCUUCAGGGUUGUGUUCUGAAAUGUGGGAUACUCAACUCAGUGCCAACCUAAACUAUUGCUGUGAGUUGUAAAGUAAGUAAGACAAGUCCCCAGUUGUACAUUUCACCCUAAAAUAAUUCAUUUUCUCCAAACAUUGUGAUCACUAUCUGCCAUCACCCCUCAAUCAAAAAGAAGACUUGCCUAUUUCUUUCACUAUCUUUUUUUUUUUUUUUGGUCUCUUUAGAUUCCAAAAUGACUUAAAUGUUUUCCAAAAGCAAUCAAACUGGCAAAGAAUUCUUCAGAAAUGAAGGCAUAAUUCUUCCGUCAGCAUGCUCCCCAAAUCAUUGAAAAUACCGAUGACUCUAUGGCACAGCACAGAGCAUUGCAACUAUCUUUAAAGGGCAAAGCUUCUCACUCUCACUCAUUCCCACCACCACCUUCUUGAAGAAACAGAAGCUGAAAGUUUCAAAUAUUGUUAUUUUUCUCACCCACCUCCCAAAAUAAGCACAUCGUUGUGCAUCAGGUUAUAGAAAGCCUCAUAUCCUCAAAAUGAAAUAGACAGGAAAUCUCUUGAUUCUCCCAUGAGGACACAUCAGAAUCAAGCACAAUAUAAAGAGCUUGGGUUGCUACUUGUGAUGUUGAUCAUCAGGUUAGUGCAGUAAAAUCCAACAUGGGAAACUUAUCAUAUAAUGAGUAAACUAGGACAGUGUUAAAGGAUAUUUAGCAAAGCAGUUCUAAUUAACUUUCAGCUAUUUCCAUUUGCUUUAUAUAUUACAUAUUAUAUAUAUAAUAUAUUUUAAGUCAGUAAUGCAUAAUGAAGACAGACGCAGUAGCUCAUGCCUGUAAUCUCAGCAGUUUGGGAGGCCACAGCACGAGGAUCACUUAAGCCCAAUAGUUUGAGACCAACCUGGGUGACACAGUGAGGCCCCCAUCUCUAAAAAAAAAAAAAAAAAGAAUGCAUAAUAACAUUUUAUAUGCUAGUGAUUACAAUUUUAGGCAUCAACUAUACCAUUAAUAUUUAUUGAGUACCUACUAUUUGCCAUAAAUCAGACAAAUACCUGGAAAUACAAUGGUUAAAAAGGAAGGCAUGCUUUUUUAAUUCAUAUAAUCAUUGUAAAAUGAGUCAGUUAUGGAAUGGUUUAUUGUUUAUUACAAAUAAUUAAUAGGGAGGAGAGAGGGAGCAUGAUGACAGGUUGAUCAACAGGUAUAAAGUUAUUAUCAUUAGAUAAGAGGAAUACAUUCUGAUGUAUUGCACAAUAGGGUGACUAUGGUUAACAGCAAAAUAUUGUAUAUUACAAAAUAGCUAGAAAAGAGGCUUAUGAAUGUUCUCAUCACAAAAAAAUGAUAAACACAUGAGGUGAUGGACACACUAAAUACUAUGAUUGGAUCAUUAUAUAACACAAAUAUGUAUGGAAACAUCAAAUUGUACCCCAUGGAUAAGUACAAUUACAAUAUGUCCAUUAGAAAAUAAAUAUAUUUUCAAAAAAAUCUUAAAAUGAUUAAUGUAUUCUCUACUCAAAAAAGUUUAUUCUUAUAAUAAUAACUAAAAUUAGUAUGCUCCUGAUGACAGCAGCUUUCUUAUUUUAUCUAACAGUUCUUCAUGCUUCAAGAUUCCUAAACUUGCUUCUUAUCAGCUCUAUUGAGCUAUAAUUUACUUACAAUAAAAUUCACCUAUUUCAAGUGUUAGAUGAGUUUUGACAAAUGUACAUGCCCCUGUAACCACCACCAUAAUCACUUUCAGUUUAUCUUAAAAGAACUCAUAUCUGGACUGCUUAAUUGAAGGGUACACAGUCAUGACUAUGGAGCACUUAGACAUCAGCACUCCCUCCUAAGGUGCUAAGUAGAGUCAUUAUGCAAAGUGAAUAACUCUAAGGGUGAGGAUAUCCUCAACAUCCUCACUCCUACUUGUGGGUUGAAAAUUAGGCAUAAGAAGGCCAAUUGCCAGAUAAUGCUGUUGCUCUGAGGUUUGUGUACAAACUGAAAGGUUGAAGUGUACCCUUUCAGCACCAGGAUUCAUUUCCAGCAGAUCCAUUCUCCUCUCUGUGGCUUACACCAGCCAAAGCAACAUUGCUACAAGCUCUUAGCAUUCUUCUUCACGCUCACCCCGUAGACAAGCAUAUUGUCCUGUCUGGAGUGUCCUCUUCACCGACACAUUCCAAGCUGCUUUGGCUUGGGAGAAUCUAAACUUGGGCCUGAUGACAGAUAACUGAAAUCUUUUACGAGAACUCCAAAAAGGAAAAAAAAAAAAAAAAGAGGAAAGGAACUAGAGCUGCACGUCAAGUCACACUGUGUUGUCAGCUACUUUAGCUGACUGAGAAAUACAAUUCUUUGGAAUGGAAGAAGUUUCAGUGAUAACCUUGUUGGGAAAUGAUAUCAAAGGACAAAGGUGUCAUUUUUAAAUGUGUAACUUAGUACUAUCAGCACUGUUAAUUUCUCUGGCCACUUUAACUCUUAAAACUGCUGCAGUGUGAGUGUGUGAGUAUCACUUAUGCACAAGACCAUUUUAUCAGUAAGGUACAAGAUGACAUAUUCAUAGAAUAAGCACAUUGCCUAUAUAGAAAAUAUGUAAUAUAUUGUUUAGGCUUCAGCAAUGUUGAGGUAAAAGUAUUUAUUAAAAGGACAUACUAGCUUCGUUGCCUUAAAUUAAGUAUUAAUCUUUGGUCCUCUUGGCCCUACCGUUUUCAUUUGAGAUGCCCAGUUUGUAUUUGGAGUUUAUAAUCACUUACAAGAUAUUUAGUGAUAGUUCUAAAACAAGCAGGUGAUUUUAAUUUAGUAACUGUUCAAUUUAGUAAUUUAGUAACUGUGACACAACUAGCAGCCUUAGUGGAAGUUUGAAAUAACGUACAAAGUUAAUGCUUAUGAACAGGUAAAAAAUGAAUGAUUAAUGCCUAAUAUAUCUAGAUAAUUGAUCAAAGGGGUGUGUGUGUGUGUGUAGAUUUUUAUCCAUCCAGUUGUUAACAUGUUUCUCUAUUUUUCUUUAUAUACUCAAAAUGUGUUUACUGCUUGGUGUUAUUUCUUUAAUAUCUGAAAAUUUAAGUGACAAAAUGAACUAUAUCAUGUAUCAAAAUAUUUUAAUGCUUGAUUUACAUUUCAAGGUUU
rnacentral:lncRNA from 10 species